CCGCGUCCCCAGGCCCCGCGGCUGCAGCCACAGCGAUUGUCGAGAGGUGCCCGCCUCUGAGCCCGCUCUUGACCUCACGUCACGCCUUCUAGAACCCUCCACCCCGGGCCGCCCAGGGGCAUGCUGGGAUUUGUUGUGUGUGGAGAGCGGCUGCCGCGAGGAAUGCUGGGACUCGCAGUCCUGGGGAACUACAAACAAGAUGGCUGCCUUGGCUGAGCUGGCUAAGGCUUGAGGAUGGCUGUCAGGCUUUGGCAUGACCUAGGUUCGAAUCCUCCCUUCACAAGGUCAUCUGGACAUUGUCAUUGUCGUCCUGAGUACUGAUGGUGGCGAUGAGGCAUCUUCACAUGACUCCUCAGGUCCGAGGGAGCCUGGAGCAGAAGAGGGAGGACAUGGCAGAUACGACCACCUGCUUGAUUGUUGUUUUACUCUGCGGCUUUCCUAAAGGAUUUUGCAACCAGCUACAGGCCAGACCACUUGUGUUGAACAAAAAGGGCCUGUCUUGAAGAUUCAUGAGAAAGGACCGUGCCAAGUGCUCAGGGAUACAGGCUUCUCAUGGCAUUGCUUAAUAACUUUGAAAUCAAACCAAAAAACUAAAUCAGAAUUUCUAAAAGCCAGUGGGUUCAUAAAACUGCUAACCCAAGACUAAGUAGAAUACAAUUAAUUACAUGGGAUUGAGUAAACUGAUAAAGAAUGACUAUAACUUUUUAUAUAUUUUGUUUGAAAUUUUGCUGGCUCUUAAAUGCUCUGUUUUCCAGAUGUAAGAAAAGCCCGUUCUGUUUUCUCUUCAGCUAUCUAUGACUCAUAAAAUCCAGUAAAUUUUACUUUCAUAAACAAAGUUAAACUAUUAUGGAGUAUUCUUAUUUUCCUAGCAAAGUAGUUAUUUGUUCAUUGUUUUUGAGGUUUUGUUCAGUAAGAAUCUGUCCUCUUUGCCAUAGAUCAUAGUUGAAAACACCAGUUAUAUUAUGAAAGCUUUGACUGGAAUGUCAUGUUUGAUAAUGAUGCUUAAAGUCAGACAUGACCAGACAAAUUUCAAGGAACUACGGUUGACGCUUUGGAGCCACUGCUUACAAAGCCCUCUUGAAAAAACCGGCUGGUAUCUGGCUUAAGAGCUGAGAGACUUAGGUAAGUAAGGUAACUUCCUGGAGAGUCCAGGAAGCGCAGGGUAUUUUGGUGACCUUGAGAAGAGAGGAGUUCACCCGCUGAAGUUCAUGAAGCCUGAAGGAGGAGUCUUGGCUUGACUUCCUAGCACUUGAGAAGCUUUUAAAGCCCAACAUCAGAUUCCUUAUAAAAACUUCCAUAAAGAGAACUUAAAAGGCCUGU